rnacentral:rRNA from 1 species
AGCAGCCGCGGUAAUUCCAGCUCCAAUAGCGUAUAUUAAAGUUGUUGCAGUUAAAAAGCUCGUAGUUGAAUUUCGGGAUCAAUUUAUUGGUCGUGCUAUUGUACGUACUGGUAUUAUUGAUUCCUACCUUCUGACGAACCAUGAUGUCAUUAAUUUGGUGUCUUGGGGAAUCAGGACUGUUACUUUGAAAAAAUUAGAGUGUUUAAAGCAGGCUCACGCUUGAAUACAUUAGCAUGGAAUAACGAAAUAGGACGUUUGAUUCUAUUUUGUUGGUUUCUAGGAUCGACGUAAUGAUUAAUAGGGAUAGUUGGGGGCAUUAGUAUUCAAUUGUCAGAGGUGAAAUUCUUGGAUUUAUUGAAGACUAACUACUGCGAAAGCAUUUGCCAAGGAUGUUUUCAUUAAUCAAGAACGAAAGUUAGGGGAUCGAAGACGAUCAGAUACCGUCGUAGUCUUAACCAUAAACUAUGCCGACUAGGGACCGGAUGAUGUUAAU